rnacentral:hammerhead_ribozyme from 1 species
AUCGAACUGAUGAGUCCCAGACAGGAUGAAAUGCGCAUCUUGGAU